rnacentral:rRNA from 1 species
UACGUAGGGUGCAAGCGUUAAUCGGAAUUACUGGGCGUAAAGCGCACGUAGUCGGCUUUGCAAGUCGGGUGUGAAAGCCCCGGGCUUAACCUGGGAACUGCGAUGGAAACUAGCGAGCUGGAGUGUGGCAGAGGGGGGUGGAAUUCCGCGUGUAGCAGUGAAAUGCGUAGAGAUGCGGAGGAACACCGAUGGCGAAGGCAGCCCCCUGGGCUAACACUGACGCUCAGGCACGAAAGCGUGGGGAGCAAACAGG